ensembl:miRNA mir135c-2 microRNA 135b
UUGAUCACUGCUGUGCUCUAUGGCUUUCUAUUCCUAUGUGAUCUUAUGUAUUAUCUCAUGUAGGGUUCAAAGCCAUUGGGUACAGAGUGGAA